CGCGCCCUCACCUAGCCGGAAAGGUGGGAUAAGGGGGGGGCCCCUCACAUGGGGCCCGAGCUCGGAGGCAGCCGGGCGGCGCGGAGUCCUCCUGGGUCGUGGCAGUGGGCAGACACAGAGCCGAAAGUGGCGGACUUGGGCGGCCACAGCUUCCCCCGGCUUCCUGUUUCCCAGCGUGUUUGUGCAGUCCCAUCUUGUUGGAAGCUUUCGUCAACUGUGCAGACCUUCUACUCUUCCUUCACAGAUGCCUCCCCCCUGCCGUCUCUGUGUCUGCUGUCACGCCUCUCUCCUGUGUCUCCUCCUGGUUGCUAGGCACGGGACAGGGACCCGAGGAACCAACAACUGCAAAUGCCAACGUGUACCUCGUACCCCUGAUUUUAACCAUUCACCUCCCCUUUGCUUCUGGGAUCCUGGAACCGCCUUAUCAGCAUUUCCCUAUGGUGGUCUCGGCAUCUUCAAAGCCCAGGAUUUUGUAGAGCAAUUGGACCGUUUGUGUUCUGAUCCCUGUGACCAUAUCAGAGUGCAGCUUCCGCUAUUCGAUUAAACCAGUUUCCACCCCGCCUCCAACAGUUCUUCCAGAAUUGGGUUGAAAUAUAGCUUUUGCUGAUGGCUCUUCCUCCGCUCUCUUUGCCAUUCUAUGUUUCUUUAAACAAAAAACGUCUUUUUUUCAAGGGACAAUGAAGAUAAACCAGUGUUGGUUAGCCUGCCAUCUUUAAUCCAAAGUGCAUUUCCAAAAUCACCUAAUGGUUUUCUGGAACUAUCUCAAAUUUGUUUAUAGCUACACUACUCCUUAUGUUGGUUUGUGAUUGGUCAAGAUGGCUUUCUUCCUCUCUAACAUCUAACAGCUGAGCCUUGAUUAGACCGAUUGGGUCUGUUUUCCUGGUUGGUUAACUGCUGCUAUAUUGAGUGUUCAGAUCACCGAAGGGGCACUUUCAAAUUUACCAACCAUGGCAUGGCUGCUAUUAUACAGUGGCUUUGAUUCCCUUGGCACGAGAUUUGAAAAUGAGUAAGAAAGUUGCUGGCACCCUGAUCAUGAGACAACACCAUGCUUUCCCCAGGGGCUUUUAGCUACAAACACUUAAAUACGGCCCUGCUAUCAAGCCUGGUCCCUGGGUGGACCGUCAGCAUCAGAUCACCUGUGAGGAACUUGUUAAGAAUGCAAAUUCACCCACUCACCCCAGACCUACUGAAUGAGAAACCCAAGGAGAUGGGCGGGCAGCAAUGUGUUGUCUAAUGAGCUCUCCAGGAGUUUGAGAAACGCAUUUCUAGAGGCUGGAGUGCCAUAUCCUUAGCCACUGAAGGCGGUCAUCCCAAAUUAUGCUGCACACCGAGUUUUCCCAUGGGCAGUCAUGGGGCUCCUUAGUGGAUUUCACCUGUCUGGAUGAUUGCCUUCCCGGUCCUCUGAUUGUUUACUUAAUGGUUGACCACUGUCCUUAAUAGGAGUAGUUAGCAAAUUACAGAAAGGAGCCUCAAAUCUGCCACAGUAUGGCCAUGGGGAUCUUAGGAGCUUCGGCACAGCAUUUGAAGGUCAUUUAAGAGGCAACAGCAAAGCAAACAUUGAUGUAGAAGCUAGUGACAAAAUCAUGCUAUUUUUAGACCACAUGAUUUCAUUGAUGAGAUUAAAAGUUCAGUCAAGUUCCCAGGGGAAAAUUAUACUGUUGGUUGGAGUCCUGGUCUUUAGCAUCUAGUAAGAUGGCUGAAGUCAUUUUCCUAAAGUAAUAAACUUAGGAUUUCAUGUGCAUUGCCAUUUCACACCUUGUUAAGUGAGACUUGGGGAAAAGAUGCUAUUCUGGGGCAUCUACGCAGAAGAACCCACUUUGCAAGGCUUCAGAUCUAGUCCAGCAGGUCUGCCUGCCUGCUGCUGUGUCUCCCCCCACCAGUGUUACACACAGGGCCCCUGCAGCGGGUCUGCCAUUGGAUCUACCGAGGAACAGUGCCAAGCGGUGUCUCAGGCUGAUUCACGCUAUAAAAACGCUAACAUGUUCAAUUGGCUGUUAUCCCAAAGAGGGAAACUUGGAAAGAAUAAAAUGUACCUGGGUGCCCGAAUUCCAAUCAGCCCCGGAAUGUGCAGCUCAACCAAGUGAGCAGUAAAAUGACAGUUUCCUUGUGGUUUGGGGACACUUCUUCAGCCAGUAGCCAGCGAAGGUUUGCAGAUUUCCUUCAAUCAGCACUGGUUUCUGUUGCUGGCCUGGCCAUUAGUAAUCUCUCAGCAGAAAGCACGGGCUCAGGGAAGAAGCACUGCACAAGUCUGUGCUCCAUCCUGAAUCUCCAGGGAUAGAAGAGAGGGCGAGGAAAUGAGAGGUUAACAGCGGGCCGCAAAGUGUGGACAUUGGAAAGGCACUAAGGAAGUAGGAACUGAGUAUCAGAGCUGAGCAAGAUGAGCCCCGAACAUUUUGAGGAUCAAAGCUGUUUAGCCUGGAAACCUCAGACAAGCUUAGGAAAUCCAGUUUCCCAUGGUCGGUGAAGGUGGGAGUGAGUGAGCGGCAGGGUUGAUGGCAGACACAAAACUACUGGACCGGUAUAUCCAAACCCGAGCCAGCACAAGCAGGCCCUGUCUAUAUCCAUCUGUAGGGCUUCCAUAACAGUACCAUACACCAUGUGGGUUAAGCAACAGAAAUCCACCUUCUCACAUUUCUGGGAGACAGAAGUCCAGGCUCACAGGUGAGCGUCUUCUGACUGUACUGUCACGUGGUAUUUUCACUGUACACGCUCAUCUCCAUGUCCUAACCUCUUCUUAGAAGGACAUCAGCGAUACUGGACUGAGGUUACUCACGUGUCCUCAUUCCACCUUCUUACCUCUUCAACAACUCUCUAAGUAUAGUCACCUUCUGAGGCUGUGGGAGGUUAGGACUGCCACCAUAGGAGCUUGUAGAGAUGCAGUUCAGCUCAAAGCAUCCUCCUCCAGGCCUGCGGGAGACAAUGUAUAUUCUAGCCAAACUGAACCAGGAAGACUUGUAGGCUUGGGUGCGUCAGGAGAACCAUCGGGAGUGAGGCACCAGACCUACAGCAAGGUGAGUGAGUGAAAGGUCACAUACUAAUCAAUGAGAUACCAUCUCCUAGCUCCCUCCACCCAGUUUGCUGAGCUGGGUUUAUACCACCACCUCCCAUGUCUCUCCCCCAAGGCAGGGGAUCAGAGGAUCUGUGAAUAAAUUAAAGAUCCUAGAGAAAAGAUCUACGGAUAUUGAUGUAUGGGUGUUCCCUGAGCAGAGACAGAGAAGCAAAGAGCCUGCUGUCUACCAGGUCUCCUUCCAGCAAACCGCAUUCCCUCCAGCCUCACAGAAAGCCUCUGUUAAGCUUCUUGUGCCACACUUUUAUUUAUUUAUUUAUUUAUUUAUUUUUAAACUUUUUUUUUUGACAGGCAGAGUGGACAGUGAGAGAGAGAGACAGAGAGAAAGGUCUUCCUUUACCGCUGGUUCACUCUCCAAUGGCCGCCGCGGCUGGAGUGCUGCAGCCGGUGCACCACACUGAUCUGAAGCCAGGAGCCAGGUGCUUCUCCUGGUCUCCCAUGGGGUGCAGGGCCCAAGCACUUGGGCCAUCCUCCACUGCACUCCCUGGCCACAGCAGAGAGCUGGCCUGGAAGAGGAGCAACCAGGACAGAAUCCGGCGCCCCGACCGGGACUAGAACCAGGGGUGCUGGCACUGCAGGUGGAGGAUUAGCCUAGUGAGCCGCAGUGCCGGCCAUACUUUUAUUUUUUUAAAAUACUUAUUUAUUUAUUUGAAAGAGUUACACAGAGAGAGAAGGAGAGGCGGGGGGGGGGCGAGUCUUCCAUCUGCUGGUUUACUCCCCAGUUGACCCCAAUGGCCAGAGCUGUCCCGAUCUGAAGCCAGGAACCAGGAGCUUCUUCUGAGUCUCCCACAAGGGUGCAAGGGCCCAAGGACUGGGGCCAUCUUCUACUGUUUUCCCAGGCUGUAGCAGAGAGCUGGAUCAGAAGUGGAGCAGCCGGGACUAGAACUGGCGUCCAUAUGGGAUGCCAGCGCUUCAGGCAGUGGCAUUACCUGCUAUGCCACAGUGCCAGCACCUAUGCCAUACUUUUAAAUAUAAAUAUGAUGGGGGUUGGCGUUGUGGCAUAGCAGGUAAAGCCACCACCUGCAGUGCCAACAUCCCAUAUGGGCACCGGUUUGAGUCCUGGCUGCUCCACUUCUGAUCCAGCUCUCUGUUAUGGCUUAGGAAAGCAGUAGAAGAUGGCCCAAGUGCUUGGGCCCCUGCACCCACAUUGGAGAUCCAGAAUAAGUUCCUGACUCCUGGCUUUGGAUCAGCACAGUUCCAGCCAUUGCAGCCUUUUGGGGAGUGAACUAACAAAUGGAAGAUCUCUCCCUCUCUGCCUCUGCUUCUCUGCCUUUCAAAUAAAUAAAUAAAUGUUAAAUAUAUAUAUAUAUGUAUAUUAGCCAGCGCCGCGGCUCACUAGGCAAAUCCUCCGCCUUGCGGCGCCGGCACACCGGGUUCUAGUCCCAGUUGGGGCACCAGAUUCUGUCCCGGUUGCCCCUCUUCCAGGCCAGCUCUCUGCUGUGGCCAGGCAGUGCAGUGAAGGAUGGCCCAAGUCCUUGGGCCCUGCACCCCAUGGGAGACCAGGAGAAGUACCUGGCUCCUGCCAUCGGAUCAGCGUGGUGCACCGGCCGUAGCGUGCCAGCCGCGGCGGCCAUUGGAGGGUGAACCAACGGCAAAGAAAGACCUUUCUCUCUGUCUCUCUCUCACUGUCCACUCUGCCUGUCCAAAAAAAAAAAAAAUAUAUAUAUAUAUAUAUGUACACACACACACAUAUAUAAACAUGAAGGGGUCAGCAUUGUGGCACAGUGGGUUAAGCCACCACUUGGGCUGCCAACAUCCCACAUGAGCACUUGUCCGAGUCCCAGCUGCUCCACUUCCAAUUCAGCUCCCUGCUGAUGCCUCUGGGGCAGCAGCGAAUGAUGGCCUAGGUAUUUGCCUGCCGUACACAUGUAGGAGACCAGGACAGAGUUCCAGGCUCCUGCUUCAGCCUGCUCCAGCCCUGGCCAUUGCAGCCAUGUGGGGAGUAAACCAGUGGAUGGAAGAUCUCUCUCUGUCGUUGGUCUUCUGUAUAUAAAGUUAAUUAAAAAUGAAUCUUAAUGAAGAAUGGAAUGGGAGAAGGAGUAGG